rnacentral:rRNA from 1 species
CCUACGGGUGGCUGCAGUGGGGAAUAUUGCGCAAUGGGCGAAAGCCUGACGCAGCGACGCCGCGUGGGUGAUGAAGGCCUUCGGGUUGUAAAGCCCUGUCGGGUGGAACGAACGAUCUGGCGGCGAAUAACCGCCGGGUGUGACGGUACCACCGAAGGAAGCCCCGGCUAACUACGUGCCAGCAGCCGCGGUAAGACGUAGGGGGCGAGCGUUGUUCGGAGCUACUGGGCGUAAAGGGAACUCAGGCGGCAAAGCCCUCGGCUUAACCGAGGUACCGCAUACGAUACUGUCUGGCUCGAGUCUAGGAGAGGAAAGCGGAAUUCCCAGUGUAGCGGUGAAAUGCGUAGAUAUUGGGAGGAACACCGGUGGCGAAGGCGGCUUUCCGGACUAGUACUGACGCUGAGGCGCGAAAGCUAGGGGAGCGAACGGGAUUAGAUACCCUAGUAGUC